AGACUGAUUAAGUAUUAGUAAGGAACCUAAAAAAGGCUAGUUACAAGUAGUAAGUCAAACUUUAUUGACUGUAUUACUUGUAAUGGGCUUCAUUAACGUCGGUUACUAAUGCUAGAUUGCUAUUUGCUAGCAGCCUAGCACGCACUUCUUUUUUUAUUUUUUUUUGUAAUUUUAUAAUUUUUUGUUUUAUUAGAUGUAGCCUUUCACUCCUCUACACUAAAUUCUUCAUUCCUAUUCUUUUUUUCCCAUUUUUACACACACCCGCUGUGAAACUCAACUAAUGCUGCUCCAAAUAUAACCCCUCUAAUGCUUUUCCAAAACUCAUUCAUCGAAGAUUAUCAUCAUGAACUUAAUCUUCCAAAAAAAUUAAGGUGAAUAGAUGAGUAUUAGAAGAGUCUUGAUCUUUUAUUGAGCUACAGUUUGGUUGAAAGUGCCCCUGUUGUCAAUGUUGAAGCGUCAGAUGAUGCUACUACUUGGACUGAGAGAUAUAUGGGGAUUAUUGUAGAGUUUGUUGGAAUUGCUCUUUGGAUACUACAUCAGGAGAGGACUUUGUAGAAGGCGACUUCUAGUUUCUAAAUCGGCCAACCGAAUUGUUUACACAAGGUUGACGUACAAAGGAGCUGAGCGAUUCAGUAAUCACGUCUGAAAGCAUGAAUUGUACUAGGAGCAACCCUAUAGUCGUUUAUGAGGAUGAGAAUGAUACUCGAAGUGAUGAUACUCUGGAGGCUAUGUAAAGAACUACUACACCAUCUAAACUUGAUGAGGAAGAUUGCCAGAGCAUAUAUGAGUUUAAGACAGCAAAGAAUAAAAAGCAUAAGAUUAAAACCUACAAUAGAAUUUUUCACGAGUAUACUCUUAUUGAAUUUCUAGAUGAUGAUGAUCUUGAAUGGCUACAACCACCACCUGAAGAUCAAAAUGUUGGGAAGAGAGCUACUAGAAAUCCGAAUUCGCUUUACAAGGUAAUAAUUAUUGAAGACUCAGAUGAUGAAAAUGAUCUUUAUUUUGAUGUUAAUAAUUAUAAUGAGAAGAAAGAUAAGAACUGCAAUGUGAUUCCUUGAGGAUUAUACUUGUUAGGGUGAAGUUAGCAUGAAUAAGGCAUUUUUCCAUUAAAAAUGGUUAUUAGAACCUCAUUAUAGUUUAAUUUAGAUAAUUGAAUUUUAAUAAGUAGCCAGAGCUAUAGAGUUGUUAUUUGGGAUUGAUACCUUUAUUUAAGUUAUAAUAAGAGUUGUUAUUUUAUUUUAAGAGCUUCAUUUUACUUUUAUUCGUGAGUAAGAACAAGUUUAAUUUUUGUGAUCAUAUACUUUUGGGAAGAAUUUCUUCGUCAUGAUUAAAUUUAGUAAGAAUGGCAUGGGAUGGGGAAUUAUUUUCUUAACUUUAUUUAAUCCUGUGUAUAAAUCAUGUUUAUAUUGUGUGAUUUUGCUUGGGAUAAGGGGGUGCAAUCUCAAAGUACCCUUUUGAACCAAUUUAUGUGGCAAAAUGUAACAUGGUGAUUCAAUGAAUAUGUGUGAAUGGUAUUUGGGUUUCAUUUAAAAUGGAGUGCAUAUUUAUUCUAUUUCAGGCGUAGAACUAGAAUGACUAAGAAUGCUGCCUUAGCUUAUGCUAUUCGUUUGUUGGCUGAAAAUCUGAACCAAAAUUGGGGUGACCAAACCGACCCCCAAGGAGAGAUGUUUAAGAAGAUGGCCCAACUUAGGCCACCAGUUUUAAAGGGAGGUGCUGACCCUACCUUCCUAGGAAGCUGGAUUUAAGAGUUUAACAAGUUGUCGUGGCACUCAACUGUCCAAAGGGUAUGAAAGUGGACCAGGCCGCUAUGUAUCUUAAGGAUGAAGCUGAUAUCUGGUGGAGGAUGGUGUGAGCGUUAGGGCCAAACCCAACUUUGGAUGGGAAGUUUUUAAGACCUCUUUAAGGGAUAAGUUUUACCCUCCAUUCCUAAUGAAACAGAAGGCUCAGGAGUUUAUAAGUCUGGAAAUGGGGGAAAUGUCAAUCUCUGAGUAUUAUAAUAAGUUUAUGACCCUUUCUAGGUUCGCUCCCGAGGUUGUACCAACUGAAGAAUUGAUGACUCAAAGGUUUGAGCAUGGAUUGACUAACUAGUUACAGAAAGACCUAGUCAGGAAAGUUUUUAAAACCCUCGACAAGGUAUAUAAAAGAGAUGCACACCAGUACCAUCUGAAUUCUAAAAGUGUAGGUGAGAGUUCUAAGGCUGGGGAGAAAAGGAAAGACUUUGGGGAAUCUAAGAACCAGAGUAGCUUUAAGAGGCCUAAGAAUGGGAACUCGUUUGAUAGGGGUAACCAAAAUGUUAGUAGUUCUUCUAGUGCUAAUAAUGGAGAGAGAACCUACCACUGUAAGAGGUGUAGGAGAAACCACCCUGGGAGAGAAUGUGAUGGGAAUUUGGUGACUUGCCGGUUCUGCAACAAAAAGGGGCACAUGGAAUAUGAGUGUUACACCAAGCAGAAACAACAAGGAAAUGGUAGGAAUUAUGGGAAUAUCCAACAGAGGCCUAACAAUUUUAACAACCAAAGGAAUAAGGGGAAUGGUCAGAAUGGGAAGUUUAGGAUUGGUAACAACAACAACAACUGAUCUAGCAACGGCAACAACAACAACAACAACAACAAUGGUUACCAAAACAACACUCCCGAGCGCUUUUAUGUGAUGAGCAAGGGAGAAGCUGAGAGGUCUUCGGAUGUAGUUAUUGGUACUUUUUCUAUUUGUCAACACUCUGUUUAACUCUGGAGCAGCUUACUCUUUCAUUUCUACUUCUGUUAUGCGCAAGUUAAACUUAACUGAAUCUAGUCAUGUUGAUGAGUUAGUCAGUCUGCCUAUGGGUAAACUUGUUCAUUGUAAUAAGAUAUUCAAAGGCUUGCCUUUGAAAAAUGGGAAGCUAUCUUUCCAUCGAAUCUUAUUGAGUUUAACCUAGGGGACUUAGAUGUAAUUCUGGGGAUGGAUUUGCUGAGUUCAUACAAGGCCAAGAUAGACUGUGAGAUGCAGAGGGUUUAGCUGAGUGAUCCUUACGGUAAGACAGUGUCCUAUAGACUUUUAGGGAAGCCUAAGGGUUUUGGGAUUAUUCCUACUUUGAAUGUCAAGAAACUAGUGAAUAAGGGGUAUUCGUUGUACUUUUGUUGUGUUCAAGAUUUGAGUAUGAGUGAGAUUAGGCGGAUGGAGGAUGUAUACAUUGUGAAUGAGUUUUAAGAUGCCUUUCUAGAAGAGAUUUCGAGAAUGCCACCUAAGAGCGAAGUUGAGUUUAACAUUGAUUUAGUUCUAGGAGUUGCACCUAUCUUAAAAGCACCUUAUAGAAUGGAACCAAUUGAGAUGAGUGAGCUAAAGGCUUAAUUACAGGAGUUGUUAGACAAGGGGUUCAUUAGGCUCAGUGCAUUACCUUGGGGAGCACCUGUUUUAUUUGUGAAAAAGAAGGAUGGGAGUUUGAGGCUAUGUAUUGAUUACAAAGAGUUGAAUAAUGUGACUGUGAAGAAUAAGUACCCUCUACCUAGGAUAGAUGACUUGUUUGAUCAGCUGAAAGGAGAAAGUGUGUUUUUGAAGAUCGAUUUGAGGUCGGGGUACCAUCAGUUGAAGGUUGCAGAUAAAGACAUUCCAAAGACCUCCUUUAGAACUCGGUAUGGGCAUUAUGAGUUUACAGUCAUGCCUUUUGGGUUAACCAAUGCACCAGCCAUAUUCAUGGACUUGAUGAACCGAGUGUUUGAUGAGUACUUGGAUAAUUUUGUAGUUGUGUUCAUUGAUGAAAUUUUGGUGUAUUCAAGGAAUGAGGAAGAACAUGCUCAGCACUUGAGAACUACCCUUGAAACUCUUAGGAAGAACAAGAUGUAUACUACGUUUUCUAAGUAUGAGUUCUGGUUAAAAAAUUUGCAUUUUUGGGGCAUGACAUUUCAAAGGAGGGUGUAUCUGUGGAUCCUGCGAAGAUCAAAGCGGUUAGUGAGUGGCCUACACCUAAGAAGGUGACUGAUUUUUGUAGUUUCUUGGGAUUAGUUGGGUAUUAUAGAAGGUUUGUUAAAGAUUUUUCGAGAAUAGCAAGACCCAUGACUACCCUUAUGAAGAAGUAGAGCAAGUUUGAGUUGAACGAAAGUUGUGAAUCAGCUUUUCAAACCCUCAAAGAGCAGUUGACCACUACACCAGUGCAAGUAUCGCCCGAUUGGAGAGAUCGAUUCGAAGUGUAUAGUGAUGCCUCAAAUUAUGGUCUGGGAUGUGUCCUGCAGCAGAAUGGAAGGGUGAUCGCAUAAGCAUCGAGACAAUUGAAGACACAUGAGGUCAAUUACCCUACGCAUGACUUGGAACUUGCAGAUGUUGUGUUCGCCAUGAAAAUUUGGAGACACUACCUUUACGACGUCUCUUGUAAGAUCUUCACAGAUCAUAAGAGUCUGAAGUACAUCUUCACCCAAGACAACUUAAAUAUGCGAGAACGUCAAUGGCUAGAGUUUCUCACGGACUACCAUGUCCACUUCCGGUACCACGAGGGAAAGGCGAAUGUUGUUGCAGAUGCUCUUAGCAGAAAUUCAAGUCAUAAUGUCAAUGAUUUAAUUGUGGCCAAUGAGUUGUGUGAGGAUAUGAGAAGAUUAAACCUUGAGGUUGUUAGUUAAGGAGAGUUAGAGGGAUUGCUGAGUGCCCUGACAAUCCAACCAUCCAUAUUUGAGGAGAUUAAAGUGAAGCAGUUGGAAGAUAAGUCGUUGCAGAAAAUCAGAGAUCGAGUAACUAGUGGUGUAGAGACUGGAUUCAAGAUUCAUGAAGAUGGGAGUCUGAGAUACAAGGAGAUAUAGUUCAUACCACAGAAGUGUGAGGAUAUAAGAAGAAAAGUCAUGGAGGAGUGUCAUAAUAUACAAUAUUCAGUUCACCCUAGGGGAGAUAAGUUGUAUAAGGAAUUGAAAGAGGUUUAUUGGUGGCCGAAUAUGAAGAGAUAGCUGGCUGAGUUUGUAUUAAAGUGUCUGACAUGCCAGAAGGUGAAUGUUGAAGCUUAAAGUUUUAAUGAUGAUAGACUUAAAUUCAAGCAAACUUAACUACAGAUUUCCUUAAGUGUUUGACUAAUAACAGGUGAAGUGGACCUUGGUGGUGGAAGAGUAUCCUUGAUUAAGAAGAACCUGAAGGGAAUACUUUAAGAAGGUUAAACAAGAUAAAAGAAGAUUUCCCUAACAAGAACUUAGUUCUCUAACAAGAACUAUUUAAGUUCCCUAGCAGGAACAUGAUCCUGGUCUGCGUGAAGCCCAAGCAAUCCUCGAGUGCAGAAUAAAACAGCGCAACAACUUAUUUAGUUAAGAUUUUAUCUUCUACAUUUGUUGUUAAAUAUGCUAAGUAGGGUUUGCACAAAACCUAUUAGAAGCGUGACAAA